AGUGAACGCUGGCGGUAGGCCUAACACAUGCAAGUCGAACGGCAGCACAGUAAGAGCUUGCUAUUACGGGUGGCGAGUGGCGGACGGGUGAGGAAUACAUCGGAAUCUACUUUUUCGGGGGGGAUAACGUAGGGAAACUUACGCUAAUACCGCAUACGACCUACGGGUGAAAGCAGGGGAUCUUCGGACCUUGCGCGAAUGAAUGAGCCGAUGUCGGAUUAGCUAGUUGGCGGGGUAAAGACCCACCAAGGCGACGAUCCGCAGCUGGUGUGAGAGGAAGAUCGCCCCCACUGGAGCGUGAGCCCGCUCCAGAGUCCUACGAGAGGCAGCAGUGGCGUAUGUUGGACAAUGGGCGGUAGCCUUAUCCAACCGUACCACGUCAGUGACGCAACCCUUCGGGUUGUAAAGCCCUUUUGUUGGUAGUGAACAGCCGUAGUUUAUUACCCCGCUUUUGUGACGGUACCCAACAAAUAAGCACCGGCUAACUUCGUG
rnacentral:rRNA from 1 species